rnacentral:rRNA from 1 species
UAAUACAUGCAAGUCGAACGAGAAAGUCACUUCGGUGGCGAGUACAGUGGCGCACGGGUGAGUAACGCGUAGAUGAUGUGCCUUUUAGUGGGGGACAACCUCGUGAAAACGGGGCUAAUACCGCAUAAGUUUGCUGAAAUUGAAAAAAGCAAAGAAAGGGGGCUUCGGCUCUCGCUAGAAGAUCGGUCUGCGUAGCAUUAGCUUGUUGGUGGGGUAAUGGCCUACCAAGGCGACGAUGCUUAACUGGUCUGAGAGGAUGAUCAGUCACACUGGAACUGAGACACGGUCCAGACUCCUACGGGAGGCAGCAGUAGGGAAUAUUGCGCAAUGGGGGAAACCCUGACGCAGCAAUGCCACGUGAGUGAGGAAUGCCUUCGGGUUGUAAAGCUCUGUCCUAUAGGAAGAACGGCAUUAUGGUUAAUACCCAUAGUGUUUGACGGUACUAUAGAAGAAAGCACCGGCUAACUCCGUGCCAGCAGCCGCGGUAAUACGGAGGGUGCCACCGUUGUUCGGAUUUACUGGGCGUAAGCGCGCGCAGGCGCGACUGAUCAGUCAGAUGUGAAAUCUCGGGGCUUAACCUCGAAACUGCGUCUGAAACUAUCAGUCUAGAGUCUCAUGGGGGGUAGGGGAAUUUCACGUGUAGGGGUAAAAUCCGUAGAGAUGUGAAGGAACACCGGUGGCGAAGGCGCCUACCUGGAUGAGUACUGACGCCGAGGCGCGAAAGCGUGGGGAGCAAACAGGAUUAGAUACCCUGGUAGUCCACGCCGUAAACGAUGAGUACUAGCUAUUGGAGGUAUUGACUCCUUCAGUGGCGCAGCUAACGCAUUAAGUACUCCGCCUGGGAAGUACGGUCGCAAGACUAAAACUCAAAGGAAUUGACGGGGGCCCGCACAAGCGGUGGAUUAUGUGGUUUAAUUCGAAGCAACGCGCAGAACCUUACCUAGGCUUGAAAUCCUUCGAAUCCGACGUAAUUGUUGGAGUGCCCGCAAGGGAGUGAAGUGACAGGUGCUGCAUGGCGUCGUCAGCUCGUGUUGUGAAAUGUUGGGUUAAGUCUCGCAACGAGCGCAACCCCUAUCUUUAGUUGCCAGCAUUAAGUUGGGCACUCUAGAGAGACUGCCCGGGGUUAACCGGGAGGAAGGUGGGGAUGACGUCAAGUCCUCAUGGCCCUUAUGCCUAGGGCUACACACGUAAUACAAUGGUACAUACAGAGGGAAGCGAUCAGGUGACUGUUAGCAAAUCUCAAAAAGUGUAUCUCAGUCCGGAUUGGAGUCUGCAACACGACUCCAUGAAGUGGGAAUCGCUGGUAAUCGUGGAUCAGCACGCCACCCCCAAUACGUUCCCGGGCCUUGUACACACCGCCCGUCACACCAUGGGAGUUGGUUCAAUCUUAAGACGUGACUCUAACCUUCGGGAGGAGAGCGUCUACGGUGGGACCGAUGACUGGGGUG